CCAUACCCUCUUCUUCCCAUGCAACUUUUGAGGGCUUGGGCCCUUUGGAUGAAUCCGAGGCCUUAGGAUAAUGAGAUCAAAACUAGACACCAAGUGUUGGGCUUGGGCCCAAUUGUAAUGAGGCCAAGUUGGAAGUACCCCUUCCAGAUGGUAUAUCGAUUCAAUAUAAAUGGGGAUCUGCUUGUAUUAGUAAUUUAUUAACGAGUUAUCUUUGGUACUAGAUGGUUUCACAAAAUUAUUUCAAUGAGAUUGCGCUUGUAAAUGAGGAUUUUGGAGUUGAAGUAAGGGACAAACUUGCACUUAAACAUCAUGAUACUGAGGAGGGAAGUUCCCAAGAUGGGGCAGUGGAUUGAUUGUUAUAUUGUAUUCUUUUGCUGUGGAUCGAAAAUUGUUCCCUUUUUUUUUCAAUAAUCUUUAUAAAUUAUUCAAGAUCUUAAUUUAUAAAUUAGAUCACGAUCCUCGGAGGGCCCCUGUUCAUGGAGGAAUGAUCCGCAAUGGUCAUGUCAGUCAAUGCCAAAUGCCAAAAUUCAAUCAAUUUCGGCUUUACGAACGCAAUAAGAAAGGAGGCUUCCUUACUUACCAUUUCAGCUAGUUUUCUUUGCUGCUGAUUUUGGAUUUUUCACAUUUGCUCCCUGUAAAACUGGUGUUUUGUAUUGUGAUGUAAACAACAGUGUAAUAUAUGGUAUGUAGUGUAUUGUUUGUUGA